CAAGCAACAUAUAUGUAGAAAAAAGUUUCACAAUAUAGAAUAUCACACACAAGUUUCGAGUGCCAACAAGCAUACUCUUCAAACCGAAAGUUCCAUGGAGUUUGAAAAAAGAAACAUCAAGAACAUGUGAAGAACAAGAAUAUCCAUAGCUGACGGUAUUACAAAUGAGGAAGAAAUCUCAUGUCACAAGGUUUAAACAAAAAACCAUACCUUAAAAUAUGAAAUAACUAAUUCUUGAGACUGCUGGUCCCUCUAUUUUGUAAGAGGGAAUAACUUAUCGUAUCAUUCAAUGCCUCUUUCUUAUAUAAGAAUACAUGAAAGCAACUAGAAAAAGAGAAUAGCAACACUUAAUAAAACCACAGAAAAUAUAAUCAAAGAAUAAAAUGAGAAAAAAAAAAAAAAAAAAAAAAAAAAAAAAAAAAAACCUAUUACAGGUAACAAUGUAUCAAACUCCCCCCUCUUUCCCUUCCAUUUUCUCUCCUUCCUCUUUAUCUACACACCCGAAAAAUACAACUUCCAUCAAAAAAUUUGUGAGACUUUUUUCGUUUAUUGUGAUGUGAAGCGUGUCGUAUUCAAUGCAUUGAUUGCUUCUUCAAAAACACCUUCAUUCAGUUUUCAUUUAUUCUUCAUGUAUCCUCACAAUUCAAUCCACAAAUUUCUAAGACAGGACCAUCUCUUGAUACAAAAGGGUUAACUCUAACCCACAAGAGAGUCAAGAUGGAAGCUAGCAAGAUUGACCAAACCAAAACAAUGGUUGGCAUCCUAUCCUGUUUCCCAAGCAAACCCUUGAGGAAUGGAUAAAGAUGUAUGAUGACCCAAAGGGCAAAGAAUAAUCUACCGAACAGAGGUCCCCAUGAGUCAUAACCAUUAUUGAUCGCAUCGGAGACACCAACAAUCACGCCCACAAUAUUCAUGAUUAAUAGCGUCAUUGGAGGGAUUAAUAGUGAAGUCCAUUUGAAUACAUAGAGCUCCGAGAAUUCUCCAUCGUCGGCUGCUUUUGAUGUAACAGUGAAGUUUGUGUCGACACCAGCUAAAACCUUGAGCAAACCUUGGAAAAGGGCAAAAAGAUGUGAUGAAGCACCUCCAAUCACCCAAAACUGUUCAUUCCUCCACCAAUCAUCGAUUCCAACACCACCCCAUUGCAUCUCAAGGAUACCAGUUGCUGCGAUCGAUAUGAAGAGGGCCAUGAACACAAGACUUGCAUAGUUGCUUAUCUGCAUAUCAGAUAAAAAAAAAAAAUGAUAUGUUAGUAACUGUGUCUACUAUUCUGCAAAUACUGAGGCCUGUCCGUUACAGCUUCUUCCUUAAAAAAAAAAAAUCACUAUUUUUUAAAAUAAUCACAUCUAGGAGUUUUAAUCUGUUAGUAACAACUUCUGAAGAAAAAAAAAUAAGAAUCUAAAUAAAUCCCCAAAACUGCUUCAAAAGAGAAACAGUUUUCAGUUGCUUCUCUAGAAAAUCACUUUUGUUUUGAUAGAUGAUUUUUUUAAGAAAAAAUUGUUUUUCAAUGCAGUAAACAAACACAGAAUAGCUUCUGUUUUUCUUAAAAAGUUAUAAAAAAAUCUACAAAUUAUUGAAAGCCAAUUUUUUUUACUCAAUAACAAAUAGACCCUAAAAUUUUGACAAGACAAAGCAACAAAUUUACUUCCUUCUUAAUUCCUUAGGCAGUUAAGGAAAACAUUAAAAGGGAUAUUUUUGAGUGACAGUCAUAAAAUUAUAGGGAAUUAAGAAGCAUACCUCAGGAACAAUAAAUUUUCCGGUCAGAAGACAUAUGGCCGGUAGAGUACAGUAGACAAUCAAUGGGAGGGAAGUCCAAGGAUACACGACUGAAUUUAUGUAGGAAAAACGUUCCAACAACUUCAACCCACCACCGUAGCCGUACCAAAUUGGACAAUGUUUGCUGAAAAAGAUCUCAACAGAACCAAGAGCCCAACGAAGAACUUGGUGUAGACGAUCUGAAAGAUUGAUGGGUGCUGAACCCUUGAAUGCAGGCCUCUUAGGGAUACAAUACACAGACCGCCAACCAUGGCAAUGCAUUUUGAAACCAGUCAAGAUAUCCUCAGUCACAGAACCAUAGAUCCAUCCAACCUAAUCCAAGCCAAUAUUGUGAGUACGUGAAAUAAAUAUCAGAACAAAGACUACUAUUAAUUUACUAAUCAAUUAAAUGGAGGCCAAACUCUGGUCACUGAGCUUGCUUAGAUAUUUACCUCUUUUCCCCAUUCGGUUUUGUCUUCAUAACCACAACUGAUAACUUGAAUGGCUUCUUUUAACAGCGAUGCAGGACUCACUCCAGGUGGAAUUCCACCAUUAUCCAGAAGUGUAGAGGCAACAAACACUGGAGACUGUCCAAACCUCUUCUCCAUUUUCAAUUGAGUCAAAUUGGAUGAUUUCUCGACGAUGGCUCCUGAAGCAGAACAUAGUUAGCAUUAAUUGUAAUCAACCAAAUUUUCUGAAAUAGAAGUUUUUAUCAUAAAGUAAUCACAGCCAAUUGAUCAAAAAUUCUAACCUUCAUUCCCUGCCUCAAUAUUUUCAAGUGCGUGAAUUUGCUUUGAUGCUUCACUAUGCUUCACCUUCUUCUUUUUAUCUUUCUUAUUAUUGAGAUUCUUUUUCUUUCUAGAGCCACAGCACCAGCAGCACCAUUUUGGCAAACAGUUGCAGGUUUUGCUUGGCGGCUUCUUCUUGACAGGUGCAUCAUAUCCGUAGAGUGCAUACCUUCUGAAAACACAUCCAGUUCCAACAUAAAUUGGACCUUGUAAUCCAUCCAAUCCUUUCAUGUUUAUCUGUUUUCAAUCAGGUAGUUAACUUGUCAAGGCAAAGGGAAGAAAGAAAAAACAUUGACAAAAGCAAAGAAUCGAAAAAGCAAAAACUUACAUCAAAAAAUACAACAUUUCUGUUGGAGUAUCUGUCAUGUCUAUCAAUUCCAUCAAAUCUUUGUGGAAAUUGUACAUAGCAGAUCUUCUUGCCAAGUUGAGGGUCCAUCAUAAAACACAUGGCCUCUCUAAGAGCCUUGCUAUUAUUGAUGUAAUGAUCACAGUCAACAUUCAGAAUAUAAGGUGCGUUUGUGAUAAUUGCCGCCGCUCGUACCUACAAAUAUAUUACAAAAACAUGUUAUCGAAGGCCAGUAGAUCAUCAUCAAUAUCAACCUGAACCAAAAUAUAGGUAACUUGAAACUUACCAGAGAAUUCAUGGCUCCAGCCUUUUUGUGGUGAUCAAACCCAGGCCUUUUUUCUCUAGAAACAUAAACUAAGCGAGGUAACUCAUUUCCCUCAACAUCACGAACACCAUCAUGACCAAGGAAGACCUGUAAAACACAAACAAACAAACAAAAAAAGAAUGUCAUCGUUUCAAAUUUGUAGGCAAUGUUGUGAAAAAUCAAGAUUCUAUUUAGGAUCAAGGAGGGGAAUGAAAAAAUCGUAAAACAAGGAUUGUGACAAGGAUCGUAUGAUCCUACCUAAAUUACAAAAUUAUACAUAACAGAUAUACAUAUGCAUGAUAAUCUAUGUAUCUUCUACCUGAAUCAUGCCAGGAUGAUCCCUCACAUCAUUUCCAGGCCACGGAGUCCCAUCCUGCAUAGUCCAUCCAUCCUCGGGAACCUUCUGUGCCGUUGCCACCAAACUAUUAAUCCUCACCUUAAAUUCUUCAUAAUCUCUCUGUAACAACCAAAGAAAUAAAAGUCAUUAACAGUGUCAAAUAAUGCAUUCUUUAGUAACAACAACAGAGACAACCACCAAAUUAUUUUCCAACUAACAACAACAACAGGGAAAAACUAGAAGCAGAGAAAGUUGAAACCUUCAUUGCUCUUCUUUCCCUAACAAACGCGGGAUGCACUUUAUUUUUCAGAUAGUCCAUCUUCUGACCGAAAUACCAUUCUGGGGCACGGGGCUCAAUAUUAUAUUUCUUGCAAAACGGAACCCACUUCCUAGCAAAUUCAGAUGUCUCAGAAAGUGCUUCAAAAGUUAGCAUAGCAGCACCAUCAUCCGAAACAUAGCAUGCAACUUUAUCAACUGGAU
rnacentral:lncRNA from 1 species